AAAGGAAAAAUAUUUGCGAUGUCUUUUUUUUGGGGUUAUUUUUUUUGCAUGCAUGUUUGGAGUAUUCUUUUCGUUGCACGAGUCGGAGUGAGAGAGAAGGUGACGUCGUCGAGACAUGGACCCUCUCUCUCCUUCGUCAUGUGUGCAGGGUGGCUGGCUACCCAAUCGCGAGCUAGCAGCAUCCAUGGUCCAUCUCCGCGAGGACAGGGGAGGCUGCUGGCUAAGGACGCGACUGGUUUUGCAUUCUAACUUUCUCAGUACCUGUUGUGAAAGUGGUCUGUUUAACCAGUGCGCUGUUCUCUCGACGAUUCGUGGUAGCUGCCCCCUCUGAAGACUUUAUUAGGUGAGUUUGACUUGGUGUUUAAGUUGGCUCACGGAGUACCUCGUGUACUUACGUUUUAUUUAACGUAAUAUUGUGUUUGCUUGAUCUUUUGCGCUUCAGAUAUCUCGUGGGUUGUUGUGGUGUGUCCGCUAUGCAGGGCCUGGGGUCCAGGCGACGAUGCGGCACACAGCCUGAUGAUACAAACGUGUAUCUGGCGAGGGAGCUCUGUAGCUGGUCCAGGGGGCCGGGGUCCAGUGUCCCUAUGCAACAACCACACUGGCUGUCAUGGUGGGCAAAUUACCCAGCCUAAACAGCAGUGGGAUCACGGGUAAUCCAGAUCUCGAGAUAGAUUGCUUUUAUUUAAAUGUAAUGUGGUGAAAGGGGUAUAUUUGAGUGUGAUGUACAGUGGUACUCAGAUGCGUGUAUUUUUUUUUCAUUACAGGUGUCGUCGUAAGCUGAAGUCCACCCACCACCCGCACCUGACGUCUCUUUUUGUUCUUUUUUUAUAUUUGAUAUUAUUUGGCGUUUUUUUUAAGCUGUGUAUAAUUUUCCAACAUAGAAUUUUACGUAGGUUUCCAGCAUUUCUAAAUUCGUAACUUUACAAGAGUAAUACUAUAAAAAUUAUUAUAGACUCUUUUUUUCAAUUUCGUAAAAAAUCUUUUUUACAAAAAUCAUAUUUACCUACUAAGAUUAUUUAUAAAUUACAUUAAAUUUUUUAUUAUGGUUAUUAUUUCAUAUUUAGUUAGAUUUUAUAGUAUUGGUACCUAGACCUACUACCUACGUUCAAAGAAAUCAAGCUCUCGUGGUACAGCAAAUCAUAAGAUUAUAUAACUAAAGACUACGCACACUCUUGCAACUAAAUUUGCCAUAUAGCUUUCUAAUAUUUUCAUGAUAGUUUAAUUUACAUUCUUGUGUUUUUAAUUUUUUUCAGAUUUUGCGAAAAUCAAAUCCCGCCAGGCGAAUGGUGUGCCAAAUACUUUUCCAGGAUGAUCUUGAACAUGUACUCAAGAUCGUACAUGAAGGUGGCGAAGUUUUGAAAAUUCCACUGAUGGAUACAGAGACAAACAACUCAAGACCUUUGUAAUGGAACUUCAUGUCUUAAAGAAAUUGAAGGAACAUGCAAAUGUCUUGAGAUUCUUAGGGUGCCGUUCACAAGCUGGUGAACUUUUAAUAAUUACAGAAUUCGUCUCAAGGCAAUUUACUGAAUUACGUACAAAGUCAUCAGCUGGAGCAGCACCUUAUACCAUUUUACAUGACACAAAUCAUUAAUGGUAUGCAGUUCCUGCAUGAAAAUGGGUUCGUCCACUGUGACUUAGCUGCAAGGAACGUCCUCGUUGAUGGAGAAGAAGGGAAUCUUACGAUGAAGAUUUCCGAUUUUGGAUUAAUGAGGGUGUUUGAUAAUGGUCUCUCCUACACCUGGAGGAGCACCAAUACAAUGAACUUCAGAUGGAUGGCUCCAGAAACCGAGAAAACUAGAAGAUUUUCUGCAGCAUCCGACAUGAAUUAUUUGUAAUAGUAAGCGAAUCAUUUUUGCACGUUUUUCCGUUCGUUUCUCAAUUUUUUUUACUUAUUUAUUAUUUUUAUUAUUUAUUUUUUAUUUAAUUCUUUAUUCCUUGAAUUGAAUGCCGGCUCGCCGGCGGAUGCGCGAUUUUUUCUCUAGACUUUAGUAAACAAAUCCUAAAAUCAUCUCCAUUCUUUAGACCUUGGCAGCAAACCAGCAAUAGAAUUUGAAGUCUGAAAUUUUUCGAUAAAUUUUAUAGAAUGGAAUCCAAUUUAUACUUCACUUGAUUAGAAAGCAUAAAUAAAUAAAUAAAUAAAUAUAAAAGGCAAGUCUUCAUAAUUUAAAGGAAUAUUUAUCUACUAAUUUAGCAACAGAAUUACUUUAAAUGUUGUAAUUACUAAUUUUCGGAAGGAAAUAUGGUUAAGGUAUGUAUAAAUCAGCAUAAUUUUGAGAAAAUAAAAAAAAAGAAAGGGGGAAAUGGUUUUUUUUUUGUGUGUAGCAUUUGUGUUUGAAUUUUUUUUUGUUUCUUCAGUUUGCCAGAAAAAUAAAGUUUGAAGAAGAAGCGGAACCAAAAAGUCAUAAAGUACGCGAUUCAAGGUGUAAAGAAAGCAGGUUGGUCACCCAUAAUUCAUAUAGGGCUGUAUGGCACGACACUCGAGUAGCCGUUGAUGAUUUUUGUCCGUCUCCGCGUUGUAUUUUCUACAAUGCGAAUUUUUGGAGGAUGUGGGUAAAUAUAAAACUGAAUUUUGAUAUAUCUUUUCUUUAUAUCUUAUGUGCUGUUUUAGGAUGGUCUGGAGGAGGUUCUAAGAAUUGUCAACGAAGGGGUGGAGAUAUCGAAAGUUUCCAACGUAAGAAUCAACAACAAAUUCAAGAGUUACUUCAGCUAUUCGUACCUAAAUUACUUAGAGGUACGAAAAAAUAUAUUGGAGAGUCGCCCAAAUUACGAGGAGGGAAAAAAAUGGUUCCCUUCUCGUAUUUGAAUUUUUUUUUUUUCAAAAAUAUGUUAAUUUUUUUUAUGUCACUUGUUUUUUUUUUUGUUGUAAAUACACGAUUCUACAUUAUGUAGCCUGUUGUUGUUUAUUUGUCGUUAUGGUUUCAGAGAAACGUUUUUGUAGCAUGAAUCAUUGGUUGGGAGGGGGAGGGGGUAAUGAAAUUGAUCAUUU